rfam:Maricaulis maris MCS10, complete genome.
GGUUAUCUGCUGCGUACGACUGGAGCGUCUAUCCUGCGGACCGUACACCUCCACGAGGGAACUGCCUCUGUCUGGGACCCUGGUCCCGUUCAUGUGGUGCCCACCUGCACUGUCGGGUUUGUGGGGAUAAACACGCUCUGACGGCGCAAGUGGAGCCGCC